rnacentral:rRNA from 1 species
UACGGGGGGGGCAAGCGUUGUUCGGAAUUACUGGGCGUAAAGGGCUCGUAGGCGGCCAACUAAGUCGGAUGUGAAAUCCCCAGGCUUAACCUGGGAACUGCAUCCGAUACUGGAUGGCUUGAGUAUGGGAGAGGGAUGUAGAAUUCCAGGUGUAGCGGUGAAAUGCGUAGAUAUCUGGAGGAAUACCGGUGGCGAAGGCGGCAUCCUGGACCAUUACUGACGCUGAGGCGCGAAAGCUAGGGGAGCAAACGGG